UGUGAUUUUGGGAAUGCAACCCACACUCUGUGCCUCACUAACCCUCUGCGAUGAGGACAAUAAGUGUCUGCCUCGGGGAGCAGUGGAUUGUAUGAGAAGAUUCACAGGACAAAGGGAGAAGAGUCCUCCCUCAGCGCCCGGAACGCGGAAUUUACCCCAUAGACCUGCCUGAAGAUGUGGCACCAGAUUUGCCAUCAGCACUGCACAUAUAAACCCAAAUAUUGCUCAUAAAGGAUGCCCUUUGGUCUCCAGUUGCCUGCUUGUAUUUAUCUGGCAACUUUAAAAGGAGUUACUCUUGCUACACAAUACCAGAUGAGCAAAUGGGUUCUGAAGGGUUACAUGAAUUGCUCAUCACCAGGAAUACAUCUCCUGCAAGGGUUGGACGCGAUUGCAAAAAAUGGGAGAAAAAAACGAGUGGAGGAGAAAAGGAAGACGAUGGUCCUCGGCGUUUUCGCCGUCCUUUCAAUCUCUCACGUUUCCUCCCUCUCUCGGGUCCUGUGACCUUGCGAGGACUCCAUGGCGCGAGCCGGAGCCCUGCCCAUUCCUCACCCACCGCUCAGACCCCGCUCUCCAGAAGG